ACUACGGGAGGCAGCAGUGGGGAAUAUUGCACAAUGGGGGAAACCCUGAUGCAGCGACGCCGCGUGAGUGAAGAAGUAAUUCGUUAUGUAAAGCUCUAUCAGCAGGGAAGAAGGAGGACGGUACCUGACUAAGAAGCCCCGGCUAACUACGUGCCAGCAGCCGCGGUAAUACGUAGGGGGCAAGCGUUAUCCUGAUUUACUGGGUGUAAAGGGGGCGCAGACGGGAGCGCAAGCCAGGAGUGAAAGCCCGGGGCCCAACCCCGGGACUGCUCUUGGAACUGCGCGGCUGGAGUGCAGGAGGGGCAGGCGGAAUUCCUGGUGUAGCGGUGAAAUGCGUAGAUAUCAGGAGGAACACCGGUGGCGAAGGCGGCCUGCUGGACUGCGACUGACGUUGAGGCCCGAAAGCGUGGGGAGCAAACAGGAUUAGAUACCCCAGUAGUC
rnacentral:rRNA from 1 species